rnacentral:piRNA from 1 species
UAACUAGAUGGACUCACUUUGAUGUUACCA